rnacentral:tRNA from 1 species
CGCGGGGUGGUUCAGCCCGGUUGAUCGUGAGGCUCAUAACCUGAAGGUCGUAGGUUCAAAUCCUACCCCCGCAACCA